AAAGAAAAAAAAAAAAUUAAAACACAAAUCUUCUUCUUCAAAAAAACGUCACUCUCUCUCUCCCACACCAAAACCACCAUGAAAGCUCAUUUUUGAGCUUGAAGAACCAAAAUCCAACCAUGGCCAAUUGUCCUACCAUAACUAGAUGUUGUUUGGACAACUAGGAAAGAGGAUUCAAAGAAAAGAAAGAAGAAAAAUUUGAAGAAAAGGGAGAAGAAAUUCUGCACACAAGUUGAAAAGAAUAUCGGGAAGGAAUCCGAGGAAACGAGUCGAGGCUAAGGGACGACUCGCUUGAGAUAAAAGCAAGGAGAAAGCAGCAGAGUGAGCUGCGGAAUUGACAAGAUCUUUUUGAUCCCUUUUUGUACGGGAAGUAGAAAAUUGUGAAAAACGGAAUGGAAGGAGGAGAUCAUUCCGAAGAACAAUCUGUUGAGGCUGAGGUUCAAGGGGAAGCCCCAGCACUCCAG